GUUGUUGGGUAGGGGAGCGUUCUGUAAGCCUGUGAAGGUGGCCUGUGAGGGUUGCUGGAGGUAUCAGAAGUGCGAAUGCUGACAUAAGUAACGAUAAAGCGGGUGAAAAGCCCGCUCGCCGGAAGACCAAGGGUUCCUGUCCAACGUUAAUCGGGGCAGGGUGAGUCGACCCCUAAGGCGAGGCCGAAAGGCGUAGUCGAUGGGAAACGGGUUAAUAUUCCCGUACUUGGUGUUACUGCGAAGGGGGGACGGAGAAGGCUAUGUUGGCCGGGCGACGGUUGUCCCGGUUUAAGCGUGUAGGUGUGUGUUCCAGGUAAAUCCGGUUCACUUUAACACUGAGGCGUGACGACGAGGCACUACGGUGCUGAAGCAACAAAUGCCCUGCUUCCAGGAAAAGCCUCUAAGCAUCAGGUAACAUCAAAUCGUACCCCAAACCGACACAGGUGGUCAGGUAGAGAAUACCAAGGCGCUUGAGAGAACUCGGGUGAAGGAACUAGGCAAAAUGGUGCCGUAACUUCGGGAGAAGGCACGCUGACACGUAGGUGAAGUGAUUUACUCACGGAGCUGAAGUCAGUCGAAGAUACCAGCUGGCUGCAACUGUUUAUUAAAAACACAGCACUGUGCAAACACGAAAGUGGACGUAUACGGUGUGACGCCUGCCCGGUGCCGGAAGGUUAAUUGAUGGGGUCAGCGCAAGCGAAGCUCCUGAUCGAAGCCCCGGUAAACGGCGGCCGUAACUAUAACGGUCCUAAGGUAGCGAAAUUCCUUGUCGGGUAAGUUCCGACCUGCACGAAUGGCGUAAUGAUGGCCAGGCUGUCUCCACCCGAGACUCAGUGAAAUUGAACUCGCUGUGAAGAUGCAGUGUACCCGCGGCAAGACGGAAAGACCCCGUGAACCUUUACUAUAGCUUGACACUGAACAUUGAGCCUUGAUGUGUAGGAUAGGUGGGAGGCUUUGAAGUGUGGACGCCAGUCUGCAUGGAGCCGACCUUGAAAUACCACCCUUUAAUGUUUGAUGUUCUAACGUGGACCCGUAAUCCGGGUUGCGGACAGUGUCUGGUGGGUAGUUUGACUGGGGCGGUCUCCUCCUAAAGAGUAACGGAGGAGCACGAAGGUUGGCUAAUCCUGGUCGGACAUCAGGAGGUUAGUGCAAUGGCAUAAGCCAGCUUGACUGCGAGCGUGACGGCGCGAGCAGGUGCGAAAGCAGGUCAUAGUGAUCCGGUGGUUCUGAAUGGAAGGGCCAUCGCUCAACGGAUAAAAGGUACUCCGGGGAUAACAGGCUGAUACCGCCCAAGAGUUCAUAUCGACGGCGGUGUUUGGCACCUCGAUGUCGGCUCAUCACAUCCUGGGGCUGAAGUAGGUCCCAAGGGUAUGGCUGUUCGCCAUUUAAAGUGGUACGCGAGCUGGGUUUAGAACGUCGUGAGACAGUUCGGUCCCUAUCUGCCGUGGGCGCUGGAGAACUGAGGGGGGCUGCUCCUAGUACGAGAGGACCGGAGUGGACGCAUCACUGGUGUUCGGGUUGUCAUGCCAAUGGCACUGCCCGGUAGCUAAAUGCGGAAGAGAUAAGUGCUGAAAGCAUCUAAGCACGAAACUUGCCCCGAGAUGAGUUCUCCCUGAGACUUAGAGUCUCCUGAAGGAACGUUGAAGACGACGACGUUGAUAGGCCGGGUGUGUAAGCGCAGCGAUGCGUUGAGCUAACCGGUACUAAUGAACCGUGAGGCUUAACCUU
rnacentral:rRNA from 1 species